AUGCACGCUGGCGGCGUGCCUCAUCCCUGCCAGUCGAGCGCACAGACGAGGAGCUUGCUCCUCUGACGUUAGCGGCGGACGGGUGAGUAACACGUGGAUAACCUACCUAUAAGACUGGGAUAACUUCGGGAGACCGGAGCUAAUACCGGAUAAUAUAUUGAACCGCAUGGUUCCAUAGUGAAAGACGGUUUUGCUGUCACUUAUAGAUGGAUCCGCGCCGCAUUAGCUAGUUGGUAAGGUAACGGCUUACCAAGGCAACGAUGCGUAGCCGACCUGAGAGGGUGAUCGGCCACACUGGAACUGAGACACGGUCCAGACUCCUACGGGAGGCAGCAGUAGGGAAUCUUCCGCAAUGGGCGAAAGCCUGACGGAGCAACGCCGCGUGAGUGAUGAAGGUCUUCGGAUCGUAAAACUCUGUUAUUAGGGAAGAACAAAUGUGUAAGUAACUAUGCACGUCUUGACGGUACCUAAUCAGAAAGCCACGGCUAACUACGUG
rnacentral:rRNA from 1 species